rnacentral:rRNA from 1 species
UACGUAGGAGGCGAGCGUUGUCCGGAAUCACUGGGCGUAAAGCGCGUGUAGGCGGUCCGGUAAGUCCGCUGUGAAAGUCGGGGGCUCAACCCUCGAAUGCCGGUGGAUACUGUCGGGCUAGAGUGCGGAAGAGGCGAGUGGAAUUCCUGGUGUAGCGGUGAAAUGCGCAGAUAUCAGGAGGAACACCAAUUGCGAAGGCAGCUCGCUGGGACGUAACUGACGCUGAGACGCGAAAGCGUGGGGAGCAAACAGG